rnacentral:rRNA from 1 species
GUCCACGCUGUAAACGAUGUGUGCUGGAUGUUGGGUGACUUAGUCACGCAGUGUCGUAGCUAACGCGAUAAGCACACCGCCUGGGAGUACGGCCGCAAGGUUGAACUCAAAGGAAUUGACGGGGCCCGCACAAGCGGUGGAGCAUGUGGUUUAAUUCGAAGCAACGCGCAGAACCUUACCAGGACUUGACAUGGGGAGGACGCACUCAGAGAUGGGUGUUCCCGCAAGGGCCUCCUGCACAGGUGCUGCAUGGCUGUCGU